ACAUCGAGCCCUUACAAGAGUUGUGCCAUGACAGUGACAUGCUGGUCGGAGCACAGACCAGGGGUUAAACAUUCAUCACUGCAGCAGCAGUCAGCAAAUCAAAAGAGAGGAAAGCAGCACAGGAAAACUAAAACAACAUGAAAAUCAUCAGACUUCGGUGGAAAUCCACUGCAAUGCAAACAGCAAUCUAGAUUUAUAAAGCAAGCACUUCAAGUCCCAGAAGACAAUCACUUCUCACUUAGGGCACUGGCCAGAGUAAAUUUGGGUCCUUCAUCUAAUUAGGACAGAAAGUCAUGGAUUAGAGAAUUGAGGUUUGAUGCAACUACAUGUCUUGGGAGACAGUCAGUUAAAGGACCUUUUCCAAUACGUGCAUAGCACAGUCAAUGAAACGAUAAACAUUACUGUCUGAUAAUA